UACGGGGGGAGCAAGCGUUGUUCGGAUUUACUGGGCGUAAAGGGCGCGUAGGCGGUCAGCACAAGUCAGUUGUGAAAUCUCCGGGCUUAACUCGGAAAGGUCAACUGAUACUGUGCGACUAGAGUGCGGAAGGGGCAACUGGAAUUCUCGGUGUAGCGGUGAAAUGCGUAGAUAUCCUGAGGAACACCGGUGGCGAAAGCGGCGCGCUGGAUCACUUCUGACGCUGAGGCGCGAAAGCCAGGGGAGCAAACGGG
rnacentral:rRNA from 1 species